rnacentral:rRNA from 1 species
AACGAACGCUGGCGGCAGGCUUAACACAUGCAAGUCGAACGCCCCGCAAGGGGAGUGGCAGACGGGUGAGUAACGCGUGGGAAUCUACCCAUCUCUACGGAAUAACUCAGGGAAACUUGUGCUAAUACCGUAUACGCCCUUCGGGGGAAAGAUUUAUCGGAGAUGGAUGAGCCCGCGUUGGAUAGCUAGUUGGUGGGGUAAAGGCCUACCAAGGCGACGAUCCAUAGCUGGUCUGAGAGGAUGAUCAGCCACAUUGGGACUGAGACACGGCCCAAACUCCUACGGGAGGCAGCAGUGGGGAAUAUUGGACAAUGGGCGCAAGCCUGAUCCAGCCAUGCCGCGUGAGUGAUGAAGGCCCUAGGGUUGUAAAGCUCUUUCACCCGAUGAAGAUAAUGACUGUAGUCGGAGAAGAAGCCCCGCUAAUU